CACCGCGGCUAUACGGGCGACUCAAGUUGAUGAAUACCGGCGUAAAGCGUGGUUAGGAAAAUUACAAACUAAAGCCGAAUGCUCCCCCUGCUGUCAUACGCACUCGAGAGAAAGAAGCCCGAUUACGAAAGUAGCUUUACCCUUUCCGACCCCACGAAAGCUGUGAAA
rnacentral:rRNA from 1 species